rnacentral:lncRNA from 1 species
CGUUCUAACAGCACGUGUUCCUUCUCAAACUAACUCAUGGUCCUGUCCACUUGGCUGACAAAUGAAGCCAGAGUAUCUAGCUUGCCUCCUCUCUGCAUGAUUAGUGUUAUGGUUUGCCUUUUAAAAGCCCCUAAAGACAAGUCGAGCUUGCUAUGGUGUCCAGGGGCAGAACCACUAUGUGCCACCACGGUCGAGGCCACUGCAUGGGAACCUUCGCAUACCGAGUAGGGCACAUGUGGUGAGGCGUGGGAAGCAGUUACGGUGCAGCAGAAGCAGACCCAACAGCUCCAUGGAGUCUUCUCUCGGGCCAAGCGCAGCUUCUGUGCUGGAGCUGAGUCCUGGGAAGAUGGAGGACAUUGAGGCUCUCGGGAAUCAAGGCCGAUAUUACUGUGCCGCUAAUUUUUCAUUUGAAAAAGGCAGUCUGGUGUGUUCACUAAUAUGUUGUGUGGAAGAAAGGUAUCAGAAAGGUGAGCUGAGCUACUGGCAGGAGGGUUGGCCGAAAAGAACUCAGAGAAAAACCAGGAAAAGAAUUCCCG